AUUUAGAUAAAAAUAUUGAAUAUUUUAUUUAUUGAAUAUUUAUUUAUUGAAUACAUGCAUAUGAGAUGCGAUUGGGCCAGCAGCACCGCCUAUGCUUUGGUUGAUUGGAUAGUUUCUGACUCACAGCCAAUCAGCUUGCUUGCUUUGGAGUUCACGCAGCUUAACCUUUUCGCUAGUUCUGGAAACCUGUUGCUCUUCAGACGCGUUUCUAAUCCCGAGAAACUUCCAAAGAACUUUCGAUAGAACUAAUGAAAGGAUAAGGUGUUUGUUCUGUAAUCUGUUUUAAGACCACCUCAACUCUCAUACACACCUUGGAUCGGCAAACAUCCCACCUUGAGGAUGUAAGAAGAUAUUUUAGAGGUGUCUUCUCUUUAUCACCACCCGAUGGUGAGUAUGCAAACCUACAAGACACUGUCUGCUGCAUCAUGUUCUCACUACAGCAUUAAAACAUACAGCCAUAUACUCUCAAAAAAGUUAUAAAUAAAUCUUAGAAUAAUGAAAGGAAUCCAGAGGUUUUUUUUCCAGCUUCAUAAUCCAAGCGUUUCUUUCCAGGUGCAUCUCGAAGGAUGCUGCUUACCUGUUCUCUUUAUCACCACCCAACGGACAGAUUUGAAUCGAUGGCAGACGGGCCCUCUAAACCCACUCCAACUUCUGUCUUUCUCUCAGCCCACUUGGGAUCUGCAGUGUAAUACACCGCAGACUAAAUCCGGUGAUACUCCUGCAGUAUUUGAAGCAUGGGUGGCUGCAUAAUGAGCAGGCAGGCAGAGGGCUUGUGCAGAGAGGAGACCAGAGAGGCAGUAAAAGUCAUACAUGUAUUUACAAAUAUAUG
ensembl:lncRNA